CGUCCACAGAAGGAAUCGAACCUCCAAACCCGAAGGCACGGUUUAGUAGACCGCUGCAAUAAGCCAUUAUGCGAUGUGGAC
rnacentral:tRNA from 1 species